rnacentral:rRNA from 1 species
GAUGAACGCUAGCUACAGGCUUAACACAUGCAAGUCGAGGGACCGGCGCACGGGUGAGUAACACGUAUCCAACCUGCCCUUUACUCGGGGAUAGCCUUUCGAAAGAAAGAUUAAUACCCGAUAUAAAGGAUGGGGAUGCGUUCCAUUAGGUUGUUGGUGAGGUAACGGCUCACCAAGCCUUCGAUGGAUAGGGGUUCUGAGAGGAAGGUCCCCCGGAUUGGAGCUGAGACACAGUCCAAACUGCUAGGCAGGGCAGGAGUGAGUAGUAUUGGUCAAUGGGCGCUAGCCUGAACCAGCCAAGUGGCGGAAAGAAUGAAGGCUUAUGUAUCGUAAACUUCUUUUAUAUAAGAAUAGGUAUUAUAUGAAGAAGGAUCGGCUAACUCCGUGCCAGCAGCCGCGGUAAUUC